UACGUAGAAGACUAGUGUUAUUCAUCUUUAAUAGGUUUAAAGGGUACCUAGACGGUAUAAUUAGUCUUUAACAGGAAACGGUUAUACUAGAGUUAUAUAUGAGGAGGUGAGUAUUUGUGGAGUAGAGUUGAAAUUCUUUGAUACCAUGAAGACUGGUAAAGGCAAAAGCAACCUUUUAUCUAAUAACUGACGUUGAGGGACGAAGGCUCGGGUCGCGAACAGG
rnacentral:rRNA from 1 species